UACGUAGGGGGCGAGCGUUGUCCGGAAUUACUGGGCGUAAAGGGCGCGCAGGCGGCCGUGUAAGUCCGCUGUGAAAGACCGGGGCUCAACCCCGGGGGGUCAGCGGGGACUGCACGGCUGGAGUCACGGAGGGGGAGGCGGAAUACCUGGUGUAGCGGUGGAAUGCGUAGAGAUCAGGUGGAACACCGAUGGCGAAGGCAGCCUCCUGGACGGGUACUGACGCUGAGGCGCGAAAGCGUGGGGAGCGAACGGG
rnacentral:rRNA from 1 species